AGAGCCUGGCUCAGGACGAACGCUGGCGGCGUGCCUAAUACAUGCAAGUCGAGCGGACAGAUGGGAGCUUGCUCCCUGAUGUUAGCGGCGGACGGGUGAGUAACACGUGGGUAACCUGCCUGUAAGACUGGGAUAACUCCGGGAAACCGGGGCUAAUACCGGAUGCUUGUUUGAACCGCAUGGUUCAAACAUAAAAGGUGGCUUCGGCUACCACUUACAGAUGGACCCGCGGCGCAUUAGCUAGUUGGUGAGGUAACGGCUCACCAAGGCAACGAUGCGUAGCCGACCUGAGAGGGUGAUCGGCCACACUGGGACUGAGACACGGCCCAGACUCCUACGGGAGGCAGCAGUAGGGAAUCUUCCGCAAUGGACGAAAGUCUGACGGAGCAACGCCGCGUGAGUGAUGAAGGUUUUCGGAUCGUAAAGCUCUGUUGUUAGGGAAGAACAAGUACCGUUCGAAUAGGGCGGYACCUUGACGGUACCUAACCAGAAAGCCACGGCUAACUACGUGCCAGCAGCCGCGGUAAUACGUAGGUGGCAAGCGUUGUCCGGAAUUAUUGGGCGUAAAGGGCUCGCAGGCGGUUCCUUAAGUCUGAUGUGAAAGCCCCCGGCUCAACCGGGGAGGGUCAUUGGAAACUGGGGAACUUGAGUGCAGAAGAGGAGAGUGGAAUUCCACGUGUAGCGGUGAAAUGCGUAGAGAUGUGGAGGAACACCAGGCGAAGGCGAUCGUCUGUAACAGAGAAAG
rnacentral:rRNA from 1 species